rnacentral:lncRNA from 1 species
UCAUCUGCCGCACUUGCAAAUUUCUGUAAAGAUGAUGAAAAAGAAGCUGGAGGGGUCAUUCAAAAGGUCCAAAGCUAUACUCCCAUUUCUAUAUCCAAAGCUGGAGGGGUCAUUCAAAAGGUCCAAAGCUAUACUCCCAUUUCUAUUUCCACUAUAUGUGCCGAGGGAGGUAUCAACGACACUGGGGAAUUCUUAAGUCUCAAUGGAAAGAAUAAACAAUAAAUUCUAGAUAACAGGAGAGAUAUGGUAAUUAAAUCGAAACUAUGGGACCAAUGUUAUUCUGAUGAAGACGAGAGCUGGGAUGAAGGCUCUGCUGGUUGGUCAUCUGAUCAGGAAGGCCAACAAGAUGAUUGCAACAGCACAGGAGGGGAC